AGGGAGAUGAUGAGCAGUGUCAGCAGAAACACCAGCAGGCCGAGGAAGAGCCAGACGUAGACGUAGACAUUGCCAGUACGCCCUGGUGAGGAUGCGGCGGCAGAGGUGGAGGAGGACGUCGGGGAGAAACCUAAUCUACUUGAAAAGGCCAGGCCGUGCUGCCCCACUGAGGCUGAAGAGGUCAGACGUACGCAUCCACUCCCACGGCCACCUACGGAUCAUAAAUACCAUUUCUUCAAGGAGAGCUCUGAAAAAUGUCUCUUGGACGUGUUUCAAUUAUGUAGAGGUGAAUAAUUAAUCAAAACAACAUUGGAAAUGCAACCGAGUCUUGCGGGGACAAUAUCCAAAUCCCACUGUCUGCAAUUAUCAGGAUGAAGAAUUGUUAAAAGACCUGUUCUCAGCGACCUGCCUCUUCCAUCUCUUGUUGAUGUGAUAGACCUCUCUGUCUGAUCUGUUGUUGAUUCAAUUGUAAGAAAUCACAGUCUUUGCCAGGUCAUUACAGACAAUGCUGACGAACAACUGUUUGUUUUUGCCGUCUCCUGAACGUGCCUUAUGGCUCUGCUGUAUAUUAUUGUACAGUCCACAUUCUAGUCUCAUUAAAAAGUCAUAUUGAACCAAUGAAAAUAAUGCAAUUGUCUAGUGUACCAGGGGAUUUAGACCACAGAGAACCCUGAAGCAAAUGGCAAUUAGCAACAUUAGAGUUUUUUUUGGGCUGCGCUGCUUUUCUUUACUCCCUCGUCAGCCGUGGUGAGUUAUCAUUAUCAUGUUGAAAAGGAGAAACUGAUGAAAGCAAUAAUACAAUUUUGGUAAGUAAAUCUGUCCUUUUGAAGUUUUUUUUUUUAGCAAGUUUUAUAUUUAAGGAAGCAGAUUUAAUUAAAAAUAAUGGAAUUCCACACACAUCACUGAAACUAAAAUUACUUUCCAUAUUUAUUUCAUUCUUCAGCCAUAAUCACAUUCAGGAUCAUGGAGGGAGCAGGAGCCAAUCCCAGCAAUCAUCAGUCAAGGGCGGUGAACCCAUUCCCGACCACUGUACCGUGGCACUAUGCCAUCAGAGAUCAACAGGUGAGCUGUGUUAAUGACCCUGUUACACAUAAUUAGUAUGAAAGCUAUUAUUUAGUUACUGCAAAUAAUUUGUCCUUGUUUGUCAGUGUGACAGUGAUCAAUAAUCAAAUACGUUUCCAUAAGAGGGCAGCAUAGACUUAGCUGUUGAUGUAGCUCUAUCAGUGCCUCUUCCUUCAAUUCCUGUGUGUAGAUUAUGGUUGUAUUUAAUUAAACAGGUCAGUGUUUAAUACUGAAAAAAAAUAAUUGUCAGUAGCCACUAAAAGAUAAUUACAUUUUAUUACCUAUAAUUUUGAGAACUCAUUGUUUGAUGGGAAGGUGUGUGAUUUGCAUCGCUAAAAGUGCUGUAGUGUAACUAAACGUGAAGACUAACAAAAGAUUACAAUCCUCCUGUGAAACAUUUUCAUUUUUGGUUCUAUUGCUCCAAAUAAAGAAGCAUCAUUUGGCUAAAUUGAGCUUUUCUAGAGAUUUUCAUAUUGUCUUGUCUACAAUAUGUAACUAAUUAUGGUGGGAGUUGGGGUGUGGGGGUCACUCUGGUUUAAUUUUGAUUUAAAAAUCAAUGCCUUAUUCUGACUGUCUGACUCGCCAUCAAGAACUUGUUAGCACGCUAAUGCUAAUCAUGAAAAGUGUUAAUUGUGUAGCAGACGACACCUGUCUCUGCUCUGUGAAGUGGAACAGCCUCACCCCACACCUCCCCUCCUGCAGAUGCCUCUCUCCUUUUGCCAUCUGCCCUGAAACCAGCGGGGUAUUUUCAGCAGUGGAACACAGUGGGUUGAGAUGGUGACGAUGUGGUGCUGUUAUUUUACAUCAUGAAUGCAGUGGCCACUUACUCACAUCAUCACUGCCUUUUUAAGAUAGCAAUGUAAAGAGGGCUGGGGUUUAUUUGACGAGUUGGAACGUGUUUGUGGAUUUUCUUCUUAAUCUGAGGAAAAGAUAUGGAUUAAUAUUUUAGUGAGACACAGCUGGAUGUUUUACUGAUGCUGUUUUUGGAGGAACGGGGGACAGAGAGAAGAAAUACAUCAAGUCAGUCCACACUUCAAGAUUAUUUCCUACCCUGUGAUGUGCAACUGGCACAGCCUCGCUCUCUCUCUCUUUCUUGCACACACACACACACACACACACACACACAAAGAGAGAGUUCCUUAUUCUGCUAAAGAGGGAAAUAUAUUUAGCAAAACUAAUUAAAGCCUUAUGAGCACACGUGCUUGUGUCUGUGUAGACUCAAGUGCCCUUGUGUGCUUUUCUGCCGCCCGUGUAUGUGUGUGUAUGCAAACGAGGACUGCAGCGUGGAGAUAAGAGCUGUGGCCUCGACUGGCAUUUGUCACUAAUCCCAGAAGGCGAAGAAGUGGCGGCCGAUUCCUCGUCAUUCCCUGAUAUUCCAGCCCAUUCUGACUCGGUGCCAUUUAGCUGUGCCCUUGUAAGGACACCAGUCUGCAGUCAGUGCUGCAUGUUAAUGAAGCAGCAGAGACCUGCUGUAAAGACAGGGCGGGUGCAGCUGGAGUUUUCAAGUACUUUGGGGAAAGUCUGAAUGGAGUGGAUUUUACUUUUUAUUUUUUAUCUAAAAAGGCUGUGAGGAAAUAAGUAAAUGUUACGUUGAAAGCUGGUAGCAUUGGGAUGUUGAUAAAAAUUUCCUUUUAUUUCGGAUUUCUGAAUGUACGUUGUAUGCCUGGAAUUAACUUGCAGAGUCUAAUUGUAAGAGAAAAUCGCUUAAAGUUGCCCACUGCUCACUUUGGUGAUGGGUAAAAUGCAAAGGUCACAUUUUGUUGUGUGUUUCACAAUGACAACUAGUUCAAUUUCCUUUCCUAACCAAAGGAACUGCAAAACAAAGCAGACUAAAGUCCGCCAUCUGGCGGUUGAAGAUGAUGUUGUAUCGUGUCAGUGUUUGACAUUUAAACUGAAUAUGUAUGUAAAUCACUGUGCA